CUACGGGAGGCAGCAGUAGGGAAUAUUGCGCAAUGGGGGAAGCCCUGACGCAGCAACGCCGCGUGAGUGAGGAAGGCCUUAGGGUUGUAAAGCUCUGUUCUGGAGGAAAAAUGGCAUAAGCUAAAAUAUAGUUUAUGUUUGAUGGUACUCUUGAAGAAAGCACCGGCUAACUUCGUGCCAGCAGCCGCGGUAAUACGAAGGGUGCAAGCGUUGUUCGGAUUUAUUGGGCGUAAAGGGCGUGUAGGCGGAAAAUUAAGUCAGGUGUGAAAUCUCGGGGCUUAACCCCGAAACUGCGCCUGAAACUGAUUAUCUAGAAUCUCGGAGAGGAAUGGGGAAUUUCGCAUGUAGGAGUAAAAUCCGUAGAGAUGCGAAGGAACACCAGAGGCGAAGGCGCCAUUCUGGCCGAGUAUUGACGCUGAGGCGCGAAAGCGUGGGGAGCAAACAGGAUUAGAUACCCCCGUAGUC
rnacentral:rRNA from 1 species